GAAUGUCUCUCUCAUUUAGGACUCUCCUAGUUAGAGUCCUAACAGAGUGUCUCUCUCAAUUAGGACUCUCCUAGCUAGAGUCCUAACAGAAUGUCCCUCUCAAUUAGGACUCUCCUAGCUAGAGUCCUAACAUGGUGGUGGCUGCAGUAGCUGCUUUUGGGAAAGAAAAAAAAAGAAAAGGGAAAAAAAAAGGGGUCGUCAUUGUGAUUACGGCUGCGGUGGUGGCGGCUAUGUAUGCGGCAGCUGUGUUUGGGAAAGAAAAAGUAGGAACGAGAGAAGGGAGGAAGGUAGUGCGGUGGAAGGGGCUGCGACUGUGGCAGCGGCAGUGGCUGUGGUAGUUGCGUUUGGGGAAAAAAAAGAAGGAAUGAGAGUAAGAGAGAGCAGGUGACUGUGCCUCGAUGUUCGACACGUGGUGUAGUUGCGAAGAAAGAAAGAAAACGAGAGCACAAAACGAAACAGAGAGAGGACACGAAGGAAAAGUAGAAGGAUUUGGGCUGGCACCAUCUUUGGAUCUUCGGAUCGAAAUCUUUGAAAGGCAAGUUUCCCG
rnacentral:lncRNA from 1 species